CUCGCAAUAUUUUGUUAUUUCAAAACACAUACAAUCAUAUGUUUUGAAAUAACAAUUCCCAACAUACCAAAAAUACAAUACAGCUUGAGAAUAAUAUUAUGAAAAUAGUUUAUCAUAAGAAUUUUUCAACAAUGCUAGAGAAAAACUUUUUUGCACAAACUUUUCUCAAAUCUGUCCUUUGUUGACAAAUUUGUUUUGAUUUUUUUUUGUGAAAAUUGUCGACAAAAAAAAUAUUUUCUUUGGUUAAAAUCAAAAUCACGCGAAUUUAAGACCCAUUUCUGGACGAAACUCUAAGAAUAGAGGCGUCAAAAAGUUGCAAGAAUUCAAGAGAAGUGAAGAAUUAGUGGAGGAGAUGCGGAAGCUCAAAUAAGGGGAAAGAAAUCAUCUAGGUAUCAAUGCAACAGGAGGCAGCGACAGCUGGGAUGGCGAUCAAUGAAUGAAAUGUGUAAAAUAAUUAAAAAAUAAAUAUUUUAUACCAUUGAAAAAAUAA